rnacentral:rRNA from 1 species
UGAGGAAUAUUGGGCAAUGCCCGCAAGGGUGACCCAGCAACGCCGCGUGGAGGAUGAAUGUCGUAAGAUUGUAAACUCCUGUUAGAGGGGAAGAAUAGUACCGGUUGGACCGGUAUAUGACUGUACCCUCAGAGAAAGCCCCGGCUAACUACGUGCCAGCAGCCGCGGUAAUACGUAGGGGGCAAGCGUUGUCCGGAUUUACUGGGUGUAAAGGGCGCGCAGGCGGGAUAAAAAGUCAGUGGUGAAAUCCUACAGCUUAGCUGUAGAACUGCCUUUGAUACUUUUAUUCUUGAGUUCGGGAGAGAGAGACGGAAUUCCAGGUGUAGUGGUGAAAUACGUAGAUAUCUGGAAGAACACCAGUUGCGAAGGCGGUCUCUUGGUCCGACACUGACGCUGAGGCGCGAAAGCGUGGGGAGCAAACA